rnacentral:tRNA from 1 species
ACCUGGAUGGCUCAGUGGUUGAGCAUCUGCCUUUGGCUCAGGUCAUGAUCCUGGGGUCCUGGGAUCAAGUCCCAUGUCCUGGGA